ensembl:lncRNA
AUGAGAGGUGCUCUAGGGUCCCUCCCAGCUCGGCCAUUCUGUGUUCUAAGGCCCCGCCCAGCUCGGACAUCCUCUGUUCUAAAGUCACUCCCAGCUUGGACAUCCUCUGUCUCAAGGUCCCUCCCAGCUCCAACAUUCUGCGUUCUAAGGUGGCUCCCAGCUGAGCCAUUCGCCGACCCAGAGUUCCUCCCAAUCCCGACAUCCUCCGUCCCAAGACCCCCUCCAGCUCGGACAUCCGGUGUUCUAAGAGGCCCUCUAGCUCGGACAUCCUGUGUUCUAAGGUGGCUCCCAGCUCCGAGAUCCUGUGUUCUAAGGUCUCUUCCAGCUCCGAUAUCCUGUGUUCUAAGCUCUCUUCCAGCUCGGACAUUCUGUGUUCUAGGGUCCCUCCCAGCUCAGACAUUCUGUGUUCUAGGGUCCCUCCGAGCGCGGACCUUCUGCGCCCUAAGGAGCCUCCCAGCUCGGACAUUCGGUGCCUUAAGGUCCCUCCCAGCUCGGACAUUCUGUGCUCUAGGGUCCCUUCCAGCUCCGACACUUUGUGUUCUAGGGUCCCUUCGAGUUCUGACAUUCUGUGUCCCAAGGUGUCCCCCAGCUCAGACAGGAAGACUUCCAGGGUCCCCCCCAGGUCCGACACGGUGGCCCGCCCCACGGCCUGGCCCAGCUCGGACACUCGGUGUCCCACGGUGCCUCUGAGCUCGGACAGGCGGCACUCCAGGGUCCGCCCCAGCUCCACGUCCCUGUACUGCAAGGUGACUCCCAGCUCGGAGGUCCUGUACUCUAGGUUCCCCACCAGCUCUGACGUCCUGUGCAGGGACAGCCUGCGCCCCAGGCUCCCGCCCAGCCCCGACACGCGGCGCUUUAGGGCCCAGCCCAGCUCGGAGAUCCGGUGCUCCACGGUCCCUUCCAGCUCGGACGUUCUGUGCCCCAAGGUCCCCCCCAGCUCCGACAUCCUGUGCUCUAGGGUCCCCACGAGCUCGGACAUCCUGUGUUCUAGCGUCCCUUUCAGCUCAGAGAUCCUGCGCUCUAAGGUGUCCCCCAGCUCCGACAUCCUGCGCCUCCAAAGCCCUUCGGUGUUUCCCGGGGAUGUUCUAUGGGGGGGGGGGGUCCCUGAGGCUGGUGUUCUAGGGCCCCCUCCCAGGGAAGCGCCACAUUGUGGGGCCCUCCUGGCUUGGGCGGGGUGUUCUCGGCCCCCCAGCGCCGAGGUGCCGCGUUCUAGAGGCCCCGCCCCCGCGCCGGCAUCGUGGGUCCCCCGGUAACAAGCUGCGUUCUAGGCCGCCAGGGCCGCCGCGUUCUGGGCUCUCCCUCCCAGCCCCCAAGUUCUAGGUUUGAGCUUCUCUUGUCCCAGAGGGAUGGGCCCGGAUUCUAAGCCCCGCCCCCUCCCCCCGCGGGGCGGGCCCGGGUUCUAACCCUCACCCCCGCCGGGGCUGGCGAGGGGCCCCCCCCGGGCCCCGCGGGUGGUUCUGGGUUUGGGGCCUCCCGCGGGGCGGGCCCGGGUUCUAACCCUCCCCCCCGCCGGGGCUGGCGGGACCCCCGGCCCCCGUGGGCGGUUCUGGGUCUGGGGCCUCCCGCGGGGCGGGCCCGGGUUCUAACCCUCCCCCCCGCCGGGGCUGGCGGGACCCCCGGCCCCCGCGGGCGGUUCUGGGUCUGGGGCCUCCCGAGGGGCGGGGCCGGGUUCUAACCCUCCCCCCCGCCGGGGCUGGCGGGCCCCCCGGCCCCCGCGGGCGGUUCUGGGCCUGGGGCCUCCCGCGGGGCGGGUCUGGGGGUCAGGCCCCCCCCUCCCAGGGGGUUCUAGAACGACAGCCCCCCCCCCCCCCAAGGGCCCGGGUUCUAAGCGCCGGACUCUAAGGCUCGGGAUGCGGGCCCCUCCACCGCGCCCCCGCCGCUACAGAGGAUAUUGUCCCAUUCUCAGGUCCUCGCACUUGACCGUCUCGUCGCCCCCCGCGGCGGCGGCCACUGCCCCCCACGGCCCCGCGCUCACGGUCACGGACACGAGCCACAGGACGCCCAGCAGCCCGGGGCCGGCGGCGGCCGCGGCCUCCGGGGCCGCCAUGGUGGAACUGGCGCGUCACCCGGGACGCCCUUCCGCUUCCGCUUCCCUUCCGCGAGCGGG